rnacentral:rRNA from 1 species
UACAGAGGGGGCAAGCGUUGUUCGGAAUUACUGGGCGUAAAGGGCGCGUAGGCGGCCUGCUAAGUCGAACGUGAAAUCCCCGGGCUCAACCCGGGAACUGCGUCCGAUACUGGCAGGCUUGAAUCCGGGAGAGGGAUGCGGAAUUCCAGGUGUAGCGGUGAAAUGCGUAGAUAUCUGGAGGAACACCGGUGGCGAAGGCGGCAUCCUGGACCGACACUGACGCUGAGGAGCGAAAGCCAGGGGAGCAAACGGG